rnacentral:misc_RNA from 1 species
UCCUAGCGAUGCGUCUGAUGCAAUUAUAGUCGGUUGAUGCAAUCUGUUUCUCUUGUUCGUAGGGUUAUCGGCUUGUGAUGGUUUUUGUUAUAUUGUAAUGGAUAAGAGACCUAUACCAGAUGCCUAUUUUACAGUGAAACAAACGUAUUCACUUGCAUAAAAAGACGGGUUACCUUUACUUAGUUUUUAAUCUUAAACGCUAACUUUUUACUAAAAUAAAUAUAUUAAAAAUUCCGGAAAAACCAUAUAAUUAUCGAGAAUGUCGCGCCACGUGGAAGCACAAGGCUUGGGCGUAAACGAUAAGGCCAAUGGAAGUAGAAAAGGGAAAGUAAAACUCAAAAGUGAAAUAACUUUGGUGAAUGGCGUAGCAAUUAUUGUUGGAUGUAUUAUUGGAGCGGGCAUAUUUGUUUCACCGCGAGGUGUUUUUGCUUACUGCGGUGAAUCAGUAGGCCUAUCGCUUGUCGUCUGGACACUAUGCGGUAUAUUUUCUAUGUUGGGCGCCAUGUGUUACGCUGAAUUAGGAACAUCUAUUGUAAGAUCUGGUGGAGAUUACGCCUACAUCCUAGAGGCAUUCGGGCCUUUACCAGCGUUUCUUAGACUAUGGGUAGCUCUUCUUAUAAUUCGACCGACAGCUCAAGCUAUCUUGGCACUCACCUUCUCUCACUAUAUCAUUGAACCCCUCUAUCCACAAUGUGAACCGCCUAAUGCAGCUGUGCGGAUCCUGGCGGCUCUUUCCCUCGGCUUUCUGACAUAUGUAAACUGCAGGAGUGUACGUUGGACAAUGAACAUUCAAGACAUUUUUACCGGAGCUAAGCUGUUAGCCCUAGCUAUCAUUAUAAUCACAGGCGUAGUGUGUUUGUUCCGAGGAGAAACCACCCAUCUAAAGAACACUUUCCAUGGAGACUUUAAGGCACAAGAUAUUUCUUUGGCUUUCUACUCGGGCUUGUUUGCUUAUGGAGGAUGGAACUUUCUGAACUUUGUAACGGAAGAGCUUAAGAAUCCUUACAAAAAUUUACCUCGAGCUAUUUGGAUUGCAAUUCCUAUCGUGACAUUUGUGUACGUUUUUGCCAACGUUGCGUAUUUUACAGUCGUUUCACCACUUGAAAUGCUAGCUUCGCCUGCCGUUGCCGUGACAUUUGCAAAUAAAAUGUUUGGGGUUAUGGCUUGGAUCAUGCCGAUAUUUGUGGGAUUAUCAGUAUUUGGUGGCGUCAACGGUCUUCUUUUCACCUCAAGUAGGCUUUUCCUCGUGGGUGCUCAGGAAGGCCAUCUACCGUCCAUAUUUGCAAUGAUUCAUUACGAAAGAUGUACCCCAACACCAUCACUUAUGUUUACGUGUACACUUUCUCUGUUAAUGUUGACCACUAGCGACAUCUACACUUUAAUUAACUACUUCAGUUUUAUCCAAUGGCUUUGGGUCGGCGUGGCCAUCGCGGGCAUGAUGUAUCUACGUUGGAAGAAACCUGAUAUGCCUCGACCAAUCAAAGUUUCAUUAAUUUUCCCGAUCUCCUUUUUCCUGUGUUGUUUAUUCCUUACCGUCAUACCUCUGUAUGCUCAACCACUACAGACAGGAAUAGGAUUGUUGAUAAUUCUGUCCGGUGUGCCAGUGCACUUUGCUGUCGUUAAAACCAGAAAAAAAUCGCCCACCCUUUCACUUAUUUCAGGGAGGAUAACUACAGAAUUGCAAAAACUGUUAGAAGUGAUGAUUCCAGAAAAAGACGACCCACUCUUGAGUAAUUGAAACAAUAACAAGAAAUCGUGAUAUUUGGUUAAGUGGGGAUAUGGAAAUAAGUGUCAUUAAUUUCUGAAAGUUUUUUUUAAAAAAUAAGUAGUAUCGUAUUGACACUACAUUCCACAAGAUGACGUCUUAGUUUUUUUACGAAUUUAAGACUGAAAGGGCUAUCUGCGCUAACCGUCCCUCAUUUAGUAGUGAUAGAGGGAAAGCAACUAGUCAACACCGCCAACUCUUGGGAUACUCUUUUACCAGUGAGCAUAUUUAGUGAUGGGAUUCUAACUCUCGACUACUUUUAUUUGAAGAAAAGAACAACAGCUUAACACAUCAGUAUUUAGAAAGGGACAGGACGUAAGUUUCCGUUGACUAUUACGUAUACCAAUCUAUAGUCACUACAGAGGCAAGAUAUCACUGAGAAAAAAAAAGGAGUUAAAAUGAAAGGCAAUAAUAGCCAAUUGUGUAGCUUUGUGCUUAACUACAAAACAAACAAACAAUCCCAAAGAAAUGUCAAAUAGCUGAAAUCAUUGAUAUAUUCUGUUAGUUUGCUUUGAUUGGAUGUAUGAUAUAAUAUUUUCUUUGAUCAGUAGUUUUAAAAACUGAAAAGAAUGUUAUGUUAAACACGAUGUGUGUGUCUCGAGAGAUACGUUAAUAGUGUUAAUAAUCAACUUCAUUUGAAUUAACAAAUGUAUUGUUUCUGAAAUUUAAAUUGUAAGUUGAUUUCUUAUUUUAUUAAAGAUAUAUUUCGGUUAUUUGAUUUAUGCAUACAAUCCUACUUUAACCCUGUUUUUCGUUUUGUUGUGUAAUACAUUCAUUUAUAAAAGUUGGUGGUGGUUUUUUGUUGUUGUUUUUAAAUCGACAAAUAAGGAAGUUGCCCUUUUUCAGGUUAUGUUGGUGUAUAUUAUCCUUAAAUUGUAACAGACAGUUUACUUUCCUCGUGUGAAGAAAAGAAUAAAAAUAUUGAACAAAACUCUAUAAGUGUGACAUUCGUGUAUUUUAAGUGUUACUCUAUUAAUUUCGAACACACGAAUGUGUGUUCAUUAAAUUCAUGGAAUUUUUACACUUUAGUUUUAAGGGAUCUAUAAAUAGCAGCUGUUUAUUCAAUGACCAAGCGAAAGAUUCUACGUACACUGUUCUUUUUAAAGUAUCUAGACAUCUCUUGAACGUAUGACAUGCUAUACUCAGCAUGUUUGCAAGAGAACUCGGCAAGCGUAAACACAGAGACAAACCAAACAGGCCCGGCACGGCCAGGUGGUUAAGGCGCUCGACUCGCAAUCUGAGGGUCGCGGGUUCGAAUCCCCAUCACAGUAAACACAGAGACAAACCAAACAGGCCCGGCAUGGCCA